GUUAAACCCGUGGUCACUUGUUCAUGUGCCUCUUGUUUAUGACAAGAGGUGGUCCCUUGUUGAAAGCCUGUCACAUGGCAGGUACUCAGUCUUUUCUUUCCUUCUAAUAAGUAGGUGAGUAUUUUCCUUGGUUUGCACACGAGGAAAUGGAGGCUCAGAGAGCUUAGGUAGCUUACUCAAAGCCACACAGCUGGGUUAAAUGGGUUCAGCACCAUGAAAAUCUGACCUUUAAUGUCUGCACUCUUAUUCUCUGGCUUAUUGGGAAAGAAUUGGACAGGGAUGGUAAAUGGAGUUGAUGGAGGCAAAGAGAUAAUUACUGUUGCUCAAAGGUGGAUCGAGAGAGUUUGGGCAAAAACGGAACCACGAACAAGCCGUUGAAAGUCCCCUCAUCCUGGACCUGUGGUCUGUCCUUUGUAACUGCUCUUUUUUUGGCAUUCCCUCUGUCUCCUCUGCCCAUCCCAAUGCCAGGCACACUGAGCCUGUAGGGAUUUACAAGGUGGGCCUCAGGUUUCUCCCCUCCCAGGUGGGCAUAGGAAUCACUGCUUAGCUUAGAUUUGGCAGAAUGAAAGAGUCAGGCAGAGUCUCACCCGGCCCUGUUUCUUAGCUGCUUUGACACCUGGGGCAGGUUUUUGGACCUCUCUGGACAUGGCCAGCUGUGUUGUGACUGCCCACCAGAGGCUGGGUCUGUGAAUGGAAGACUGAAGAAAAGGCGAUGAUCACAGUCCAGGGACAAGGUUUCUGAAUCUUGUGAAAUAGUUACAAAUACUAUGAAACAGGAAUACAAAGAAAAGCUCACAUUUAUUAAGCACUUACUUUGUGCUAUACCCUCUUGUAAGAGCCUUGUACAAAUUAG
rnacentral:lncRNA from 1 species